CCUACGGGUGGCAGCAGUGGGGAAUAUUGCACAAUGGGGGAAACCCUGAUGCAGCAACGCCGCGUGAGUGAUGACGGCCCUCGGGUUGUAAAGCUCUGUCUUCAGGGACGAUAAUGACGGUACCUGACGAGGAAGCCCCGGCUAACUACGUGCCAGCAGCCGCGGUAAUACGUAGGUGGCGAGCGUUGUCCGGAUUUACUGGGCGUAAAGGGAGCGUAGGCGGCAGUUUAAGUGAGAGGUGAAAUCCCGGGGCUCAACUUCGGAGCUGCAUUUCAAACUGUGCGGCUAGAGUGCAGGAGCGGUGAGCGGAAUGCCUAGUGUAGCGGUGAAAUGCGUAGAGAUUAGGAAGAACACCAGUGGCGAAGGCGACUUUCUGGACUGUAACUGACGUUGAGGCUCGAAAGCGUGGGGAGCAAACAGGAUUAGAUACCCGGGUAGUC
rnacentral:rRNA from 1 species